UACGUAGGGUGCAAGCGUUUAAUCGGAAUUACUGGGCGUAAAGCGUGCGCAGGCGGUUAUGUAAGACAGAUGUGAAAUGCCCGGGCUUAACCUGGGAACUGCAUUUGUGACUGCAUGGCUAGAGUUUGGCAGAGGGGGGUAGAAUUCCACGUGUAGCAGUGAAAUGCGUAGAUAUGUGGAGGAACACCGAUGGCGAAGGCAGCCCCCCUGGGUCAAGACUGGACGCUCAUGCACGAAAGCGUGGGGAGCGAACAGG
rnacentral:rRNA from 1 species